rnacentral:rRNA from 1 species
AUUGAACGCUGGCGGCAGGCCUAACACAUGCAAGUCGAGCGGAUGAGAGGAGCUUGCUCCUUGAUUCAGCGGCGGACGGGUGAGUAAUGCCUAGGAAUCUGCCUGGUAGUGGGGGACAACGUUUCGAAAGGAACGCUAAUACCGCAUACGUCCUACGGGAGAAAGCAGGGGACCUUCGGGCCUCGCGCUAUCAGAUGAGCCUAGGUCGGAUUAGCUAGUUGGUGAGGUAAUGGCUCACCAAGGCGACGAUCCGUAACUGGUCUGAGAGGAUGAUCAGUCACACUGGAACUGAGACACGGUCCAGACUCCUACGGGAGGCAGCAGUGGGGAAUAUUGGACAAUGGGCGAAAGCCUGAUCCAGCCAUGCCGCGUGUGUGAAGAAGGUCUUCGGAUUGUAAAGCACUUUAAGUUGGGAGGAAGGGUUGUACGUUAAUACCGUGCAAUUUUGACGUUACCGACAGAAUAAGCACCGGCUAACUCUGUGCCAGCAGCCGCCGUAA